rnacentral:misc_RNA from 1 species
GAUGAAGAACGUAGCGAAAUGCGAUAAGUAAUGUGAAUUGCAGAAUUCAGUGAAUCAUCGAAUCUUUGAACGCACCUUGCGCUCCUUGGCAUUCCGAGGAGCAUGCCUGUUUGAGUGUCAUUAAAUUCUCAAGACCUGUCUGCUUUUUUGAUAGGUAUUGGAAUUUGGGGGUUGCAGGCUGUUUCAAAUAAAUAGCAUUGCUCUCCUUGAAUGUAUUAGUGGAGAAAAGCCAUUGAACUCCAUUGGUGUGAUAAAACCUAUCAAUGCCAGGAGCAAUAUCACUACUUCUCUCUGCUGUCUAACUGUGACUGUCUGUAUUAAUUAGUAUGGAUGGGGACAACUUGACCAACUUGACCUCAAAUCAGGUAGGACUACCCGCUGAACUUAAGCAUAUCAAUAAGGGAGGA